rnacentral:rRNA from 1 species
AGUGAACGCUGGCGGUAGGCCUAACACAUGCAAGUCGAACGGCAGCACAGUAAGAGCUUGCUCUUACGGGUGGCGAGUGGCGGACGGGUGAGGAAUACAUCGGAAUCUACUUUUUCGUGGGGGAUAACGUAGGGAAACUUACGCUAAUACCGCAUACGACCUACGGGUGAAAGCAGGGGAUCUUCGGACCUUGCGCGAUUGAAUGAGCCGAUGUCGGAUUAGCUAGUUGGCGGGGUAAAGGCCCACCAAGGCGACGAUCCGUAGCUGGUCUGAGAGGAUGAUCAGCCACACUGGAACUGAGACACGGUCCAGACUCCUACGGGAGGCAGCAGUGGGGAAUAUUGGACGAUGGGCGCAAGCCUGAUCCAACCAUACCGCGUGGGUGAAGAAGGCCUUCGGGUUGUAAAGCCCUUUUGUUGGGAGAGAAAAGCAGCAGGUUAAUACCCCGCUGUUCUGACGGUACCCAAAGAAUAAGCACCGGCUAACUUCGUG